UCAAGCUCUAAUCAAGCUUGCUCAUGGGAUGACUCUGGUAAUCUACUUCUAAUUCAUUAUGCAAUUACUAAUUAUGUAUGUUCUGGUUCACAACUCUUUUGAGUAUUCUAAUCUAUAGGACGCUAUAGGUGAGAGUUGUAGUAUAGGUGUAAGCGUGGUGCUUAGACCUAGAUUACUUGUGGAUAUCCCCUGUCUAGCUGGAUCGUGUGGUAGGCCGCGUAGGUGACAGUUACGUUGGUCUUCUGUAGUCCACCUCUCGUUAGCAGGACGGGUAGGGUUUAUCGGCCUAAGGAUAAGCAUCCUUUGUGGUGUACUCUUAUCACGUGGUUCGUCCCAGAUAUAGACAUACCCCUUUGAAUUAGAGAAACCAUAGUUAUACUCUCUAUUCUGCUACCAUCGCCCAUAUAUUAGUAUUGCUCUAAUCUCUAUUCCCAUAUUAUCACUCACUAUUAUCUUACCUUUAAUAUUGUUCUUAUUCAAUUCUACCAUCUUUCCUAUUCACACCUAUCUAUCUAUCUUGGUUAAGUUAGAGCAUAGUUGGUUCUCCCGUUUCCCUGUGGAUACGAUAAAACCUUUAACCGGGUAAAAGCUUCAACGGUAUCCGUGCGCUUGCGGAUUAUCUGUGUGCGUAUAAAUACCAUAGUACACUCUAGUGCCAUGAUGGGGAUGACAACCUAGUAUUCAAGUGGUGUUAGCAAGUGUCAACAAGCAUUUUUGGCGCCGUUGCCGGGGAAACGGUUGCUGAGUUAACUACGAACUAGCUUAAUCAUUUUCUAAAAAAAUAAAAAAAAAUAAUUUCCUUUUAUCCUUUGCCUCAUCUCUGCUAAUCUUUCUUCUUAUCUAAUCCUUGAUCUCUGGUCUAUCAUGAAUUCAAACAUGUCUAUCUAUGAAUUUCAUAGACCUACGGGCACACAUCUCGAACCACCAAAAUCUUCAAAGCCUAUCAUAGCAUCUAGUUUUGAGAUAGACCCCGAAUACAUAGAAUUUGUUCAAAAACAACCUUUCUCAGGAGAAGGUGAGGAAAACCCAUACACACCUAAGAGAGUAUAACACCCC
rnacentral:lncRNA from 1 species